rnacentral:rRNA from 1 species
CCUACGGGGGGCUGCAGUAAGGAAUCUUCCGCAAUGCGCGAAAGCGUGACGGGGCAAUGCCGCGUGCAGGAUGAAGCCCUUCGGGGUGUAAACUGCUGUCAGGGUGCAGGAAAGAAAUGACCAUACCCAAAGGAAGCACCGGCUAACUCUGUGCCAGCAGCCGCGGUAAUACAGAGGGUGCGAGCGUUAAUCGGAAUCACUGGGCUUAAAGGGUGCGUAGGCGGAUGCAUAGGCGCUUUGUGAAAUCCCACGGCUCAACCGUGGAAUUGCUUGGCGAACCAUGCGUCUUGAGGUUGGUAGAGGUCACUGGAACGAUAGGUGGAGCGGUGAAAUGCGUAGAUAUCUAUCGGAACGCCAAAGGUGAAGACAGGUGACUGGGCCAAAUCUGACGCUGAGGCACGAAAGCGUGGGGAGCAAACGGGAUUAGAUACCCCGGUAGUC